rnacentral:rRNA from 1 species
CACGGGGGGAGCAAGCGUUGUUCGGAAUCACUGGGCGUAAAGGGCGUGUAGGCGGUCAAGUAAGUGGAAUGUGAAAGCCCCCGGCUUACCCGGGGAUCUGCAUCCCAAACUGCUUGGCUUGAGUACGGGAGAGGAUAGGGGAAUUCCUGGUGUAGCGGUGAAAUGCGUAGAUAUCAGGAGGAACACCGGUGGCGAAGGCGCCUAUCUGGCCCGAUACUGACGUGAGGCACGAAAGCGUGGGGAGCAAACAGGAUUAGAU